CCACACCUAAAAACUUUCCACGUGAACCGUUAUAACUAUGUUCUGUGCUUCGUCGCAAGACUUGAGGCUGAACGAAGGUGAGUCUGCGUCUAUUUUGGAUGCGGAUUUGCUGAUGUUAUUUUAAACACCUAUUACUUAAUACUGAACUAUACUCCGAAUACGAAAGUUUUUGGUUUUAACAAUUAACAACUUUCAGCAGUGGAUGUCUAGGCUCGCACAUCGAUGAAGAACGCUGCGAACUGCGAUACGUAAUGCGAAUUGCAGAAUUCAGUGAGUCAUCGAAAUUUUGAACGCAUAUUGCACUUUCGGGUUAUGCCUGGAAGUAUGCCUGUAUCAGUGUCCGUACAUCAAACUUGCCUUUCUUUUUUUGUGUAGUCAAAAUUAGAGAUGGCAGAAUGUGAGGUGUCUCGCGCUGUCUUUUUAAAGAUGGUUCGAGUCCCUUUAAAUGUACGUUGAUUCUUUCUUGUGUCUGCGAAUUGCGAUGCUAUGCUCUUUGUGAUCGGUUUAGAUUGCUUUGCGCUGGUGGGCGACUUCGGUUAGGACAUAUGGAAGCAACCUCAAUUGGCGGUAUGUUCGGCUUUGCCUGACGUUAAGCUAAGCGAGUGUAGUUUUCUGUCUUUUCCUUGAGGUGUACCUGUCGUGUGUGAGGUUGAUUUAGGCUAUAUGGUUGCUUGGUUGUGUGGUUUAGCGUUUUCAGACGCCUGCUUCGGUAGGUAAAGGAGACAACACCAAUUUGGGACUGAGAGUUUACUCUCUUUUUCACUUUGGACCUGAUAUCAGGUAAGACUACCCGCUGAACUUAAG
rnacentral:rRNA from 2 species